AUGAUGCGUUUGACGUUGCAAAGGAGUUCCUUGAGCGUGAGCAGCUUCUUGACGUAGGUCAUGGCCAGGGCGUACACGGUGAUGGUCUUCACGACGUAGGUGACGAUCAUGCCGAUGAUGAUGAAGACGACUUCCACGGAGGUAAGCUCUUUGGUGUCAUGUAGGAUGGCCGCAAGAAGCUGGAAGUAGGUGGGGCUGGAAGGAUCGGCGGUGACGAGGGAGUUUAGCUUUUUGGUCAAGUCUAUGAGGAGAGAGGAGGUGGAGAGUUGGAAGGCGGCGAGGUAGAGGAAGGCGGCGAGGAAAUAGAUGAGGAAGACGGAGAGUAUGAGACUCGGGUUGGUCUUGGGAAGGAGGAAGGCUUCCUUGAAGAUCUUGAAGGUCCUAACAGGCGUGUGGUGGUGUGUUUGCCAUGGCAACGGAGGACUAAGCUUU
rnacentral:lncRNA from 1 species